UACGUAGGGUGCGAGCGUUAAUCGGAAUUACUGGGCGUAAAGCGUGCGCAGGCGGUGAUGUAAGACAGAUGUGAAAUCCCCGGGCUCAACCUGGGAACUGCAUUUGUGACUGCAUCGCUGGAGUGCGGCAGAGGGGAUGGAAUUCCGCGUGUAGCAGUGAAAUGCGUAGAUAUGCGGAGGAACACCGAUGGCGAAGGCAAUCCCCUGGGCCUGCACUGACGCUCAUGCACGAAAGCGUGGGAGCAAACAGG
rnacentral:rRNA from 1 species